AUGACGGCAAUGGCGGGCGCGACGGACGCGGUGUGGCACGUGCAUGGGCAUGGAGAGCCAGAGAGAGAGUGGCCCCGCGGGCGCGGAAGAAGAGUUGAAGGCUCGGGCAUGGGCGCGCAUAGGAGCGGGCAUGUGCCACAGGGUCAAUCCGAGGAGCUCAGUGGCUACCCCUACAAUGGCCAUGGCGGACGGUGA
rnacentral:rRNA from 1 species